GGCAGCUCCACGCCGGAAUUUGUGCACAUCCUCCACGGCUGCUUGACGAAACAGGCCGACAUCCACCCCACCGGCUAUCAUGUUGUAGCCACGCUCCCUGAGUUGCUCGGGCUUGUGUUGCUGGGUCGAGAUACCUCCUAGGAAAGGUCCCCGUCCGGCCUUCUGCAUUGCGAGCACCCUCUUCUCGGCGGCCAGGAGCACCUCCCUGGCCUUGGGGUUGCCUGGAUCCUUGAGGUAGCCCAUGCUGGCGCCGAGGUCCCGGGGACCCAUCUGGAUGCCGUCCACCCCGUCCACCGCCGCAAUAGC
rnacentral:misc_RNA from 1 species